UACGUAGGGUGCGAGCGUUGUCCGGAAUUAUUGGGCGUAAAGAGCUCGUAGGCGGUUUGUCGCGUCGGCCGUGAAAUCUCCACGCUUAACGUGGAGCGUGCGGUCGAUACGGGCAGACUUGAGUUCGGUAGGGGAGACUGGAAUUCCUGGUGUAGCGGUGAAAUGCGCAGAUAUCAGGAGGAACACCGGUGGCGAAGGCGGGUCUCUGGGCCGAUACUGACGCUGGAGACGCGAAAGCCGUGGGGAGCAAACAGG
rnacentral:rRNA from 1 species